GUAGGUGGCAAGCGUUGUCCGGAAUUACUGGGUGUAAAGGGAGCGCAGGCGGGUGAUCAAGUCAGCUGUGAAAACUACGGGCUUAACCCGUAGACUGCAGUUGAAACUGUUCAUCUUGAGUGAAGUAGAGGUUGGCGGAAUUCCGAGUGUAGCGGUGAAAUGCGUAGAUAUUCGGAGGAACACCGGUGGCGAAGGCGGCCAACUGGGCUUUAACUGACGCUGAGGCUCGAAAGUGUGGGGAGCAAACAGGAUUAGAUACCCUGGUAGUCCACACUGCAAACGAUGAUUGCUAGGUGUGGGGGGUCUGACCCCUUCCGUGCCGGAGCUAACGCAAUAAGCAAUCCACCUGGGGAGUACGACCGCAAGGUUG
rnacentral:rRNA from 1 species